rnacentral:rRNA from 1 species
AUUGAACGCUGGCGGCAUGCCUUACACAUGCAAGUCGAACGGCAGCGCGUCCUUCGGGAUGGCGGCGAGUGGCGAACGGGUGAGUAGAGCAUCGGAACGUGCCCGGUAGUGCGGGAUAGCUCGGCGAAAGCCGGAUUAAUACCGCAUGAGAUCCGAGGAUGAAAGCAGGGGAUCGCAAGACCUUGCGCUACUGGAGCGGCCGAUGUCAGAUUAGGUAGUUGGUGGGGUAAAGGCUCACCAAGCCUGCGAUCUGUAGCUGGUCUGAGAGGAUGAUCAGCCACAUCGGGACUGAGACACGGCCCGAACUCCUACGGGAGGCAGCAGUGGGGAAUUUUGGACAAUGGGCGCAAGCCUGAUCCAGCCAUGCCGCGUGCAGGAUGAAGGCCCUCGGGUUGUAAACUGCUUUUGUACGGAACGAAAGGCCUCCUUCGAAUAAAGGGGGGAGAUGACGGUACCGUAAGAAUAAGCACCGGCUAACUACGUGCCAGCAGCCGCGGUAAUACGUAGGGUGCGAGCGUUAAUCGGAAUUACUGGGCGUAAAGCGUGCGCAGGCGGUUUUGCAAGACAGUGGUGAAAUCCCCGGGCUCAACCUGGGAACUGCCAUUGUGACUGCAAGGCUGGAGUACGGCAGAGGGGGAUGGAAUUCCGCGUGUAGCAGUGAAAUGCGUAGAUAUGCGGAGGAACACCGAUGGCGAAGGCAGUCCCCUGGGCCUGUACUGACGCUCAUGCACGAAAGCGUGGGGAGCAAACAGGAUUAGAUACCCUGGUAGUCCACGCCCUAAACGAUGUCAACUGGUUGUUGGGGAUUUAUUUCUUCAGUAACGAAGCUAACGCGUGAAGUUGACCGCCUGGGGAGUACGGCCGCAAGGUUAAAACUCAAAGGAAUUGACGGGGACCCGCACAAGCGGUGGAUGAUGUGGUUUAAUUCGAUGCAACGCGAAAAACCUUACCCACCUUUGACAUGUAUGGAAUCCUGAAGAGAUUUGGGAGUGCUCGCAAGAGAGCCAUAACACAGGUGCUGCAUGGCUGUCGUCAGCUCGUGUCGUGAGAUGUUGGGUUAAGUCCCGCAACGAGCGCAACCCUUGCCAUCAGUUGCUACGAAAGGGCACUCUGAUGGGACUGCCGGUGACAAACCGGAGGAAGGUGGGGAUGACGUCAAGUCCUCAUGGCCCUUAUAGGUGGGGCUACACACGUCAUACAAUGGCCGGUACAAAGGGCAGCGAAGCCGCGAGGUGAAGCCAAUCCCAUAAAGCCGGUCGUAGUCCGGAUUGCAGGCUGCAACUCGCCUGCAUGAAGUCGGAAUCGCUAGUAAUCGUGGAUCAGCAUGUCACGGUGAAUACGUUCCCGGGUCUUGUACUCACCGC